CAGUCGCCGCGGUAAUACGUAGGGGGCUAGCGUUGUUCGGAAUCACUGGGCGUAAAGGGUGCGUAGGCGGGCGACUCAGUCAGGGGUGAAAUCCCGAGGCUCAACCUCGGAACUGCCUUUGAUACUGGUUGUCUUGAGUCCGGAAGAGGUGAGUGGAACUGCGAGUGUAGAGGUGAAAUUCGUAGAUAUUCGCAAGAACACCGGUGGCGAAGGCGGCUCACUGGUCCGGAACUGACGCUGAGGCACGACAGCGUGGGGAGCAAACAGGAUUAGAUACCCCCGUAGUCCCUGUCUCUUAUAC
rnacentral:rRNA from 1 species